UAGUUAUAUGCUUGUCUCAAAGAUUAAGCCAUGCAUGUCUAAGUAUAAACCAAUUCAUACGGUGAAACUGCGAAUGGCUCAUUAUAUCAGUUAUAGUUUAUUUGAUGAUGAACUCCACUUGGAUAACCGUGGUAAUUCUAGAGCUAAUACAUGCACGAUGAGCGGGGGAUCGUGCGAGCGCCGCGUUAGGUGUUAGCUGGUCCCCUACCGCUGUAUUUAUUAGGUAACCAACGGCGCGGUUCUGCCGCGUUCAGUUGAUUCAUGAUAACUUAACGAA
rnacentral:rRNA from 1 species